rnacentral:rRNA from 1 species
UACAGAGGGUGCGAGCGUUAAUCGGAAUUACUGGGCGUAAAGCGUGCGCAGGCGGUUCGCUGUGUCCGAUGUGAAAGCCCCGGGCUUAACCUGGGAAUGGCAUUGGAACUGGCGGGCUUGAGCGCGGCAGAGGGGGUGGAAUUCCGCGUGUAGCAGUGAAAUGCGUAGAGAUGCGGAGGAACACCGAUGGCGAAGGCAGCCCCUGGGUCGACACUGACGCUCAGGCACGAAGCGUGGGAGCAAACAGG